AGUGAACGUUGGCGGCGUGGAUUAGGCAUGCAAGUCGAGCGAGAACCGUAGUAAUACGGGGACAGCGGCGAAAGGGACAGUAAUGUGUAGGUACCUACCCCGAGGUCUGGGAUAGCUGCGGGAAACUGCAGGUAAUACCGGAUAAUGUCUUCGGACCAAAGGUGUGAUUCCACCUUGGGAGGGGCCUGCAUCCUAUUAGCUACUUGGCGGGGUAACGGCCCACCAAGGCGACGAUGGGUAGCGGGUGGGAGAGCACGACCCGCGUCAUUGGGACUGAGACACUGCCCAGACACCUACGGGUGGCUGCAGUCGAGGAUCUUCGGCAAUGGGCGCAAGCCUGACCGGGCGACGCCGCGUGCGGGAUGAAGGCCUUCGGGUUGUAAACCGCUGUCGGAGGGGAGGAAAUGCAGGUGGGUUCUCCCUCCUGUUUGACCUAUCCUAGGAGGAAGUACGGGCUAAGUUCGUGCCAGCAGCCGCCGUAA
rnacentral:rRNA from 1 species